rnacentral:rRNA from 1 species
UACGAAGGGGGCUAGCGUUGUUCGGAAUUACUGGGCGUAAAGCGCACGUAGGCGGAUCGAUCAGUCAGGGGUGAAAUCCCAGGGCUCAACCCUGGAACUGCCUUUGAUACUGUCGAUCUGGAGUAUGGAAGAGGUGAGUGGAAUUCCGAGUGUAGAGGUGAAAUUCGUAGAUAUUCGCAAGAACACCAGUGGCGAAGGCGGCUCACUGGCCCGGUACUGACGCUGAGGUGCGAAAGCGUGGGGAGCAAACAGGG